rnacentral:rRNA from 1 species
CAGCAGCCACGGUAAUACAGAGGGUGCGAGCGUUAAUCGGAUUUACUGGGCGUAAAGCGUGCGUAGGCGGCUAAUUGAGUCGGAUGUGAAAUCCCCGAGCUUAACUUGGGAAUUGCAUUCGAUACUGGUUAGCUAGAGUGUGGGAGAGGAUGGUAGAAUUCCAGGUGUAGCGGUGAAAUGCGUAGAGAUCUGGAGGAAUACCGAUGGCGAAGGCAGCCAUCUGGCCUAACACUGACGCUGAGGUACGAAAGCAUGGGGAGCAAACAGGAUUAGAUACCCCAGUAGUCCCUGUCUCUUAUAC